rnacentral:tRNA from 1 species
GGCGAUGUAGCUCAGUGGUAGAGCAUCCGCUUUGCAUGCGGAAGGCCUGGGGUUCGAUACCACUCAUCUCCA